GACGUAGUCUGGUUGUUAAGGUGAGAGGAGACGACAACACGUACGUAGUCUGGUUGUUAAGGUGAGAGGAGACGACAACACGUACGUAGUCUGGUUGUUAAGGUGAGAGGAGACGACAACACGUACGUAGUCUGGUUGUUGAGGUGAGAGGAGACGACAACACGUACGUAGUCUGGUUGUUAAGGUGAGAGGAGACGACAACACGUACGUAGUCUGGUUGUUGAGGUGAGAGGAGACGACAACACGUACGUAGUCUGGUUGUUGAGGUGAGAGGAGACGACAACACGUACGUAGUCUGGUUGUUAAGGAGACGACAACACGUACGUAGUCUGGUUGUUAAGGUGAGAGGAGACGACAACACGUACGUAGUCUGGUUGUUAAGGUGAGAGGAGAUGACAACACGUACGUAGUCUGGUUGUUAAGGUGAGAGGAGACGACAACACGUACGUAGUCUGGUUGUUAAGGUGAGAGGAGACGACAACACGUACGUAGUCUGGUUGUUAAGGUGAGAGGAGACGACAACACGUACGUAGUCUGGUUGUUGAGGAGACGACAACACGUACGUAGUCUGGUUGUUAAGGUGAGAGGAGACGACAACACGUACGUAGUCUGGUUGUUAAGGUGAGAGGAGAUGAGACAACAUGCAGGACUGGUACACAGGUACCACAUGACAGCUGUUAGAAUGAAAAGUGAGCAGCAUAGUUCUCUAUUGGUCAGAACUCCAACUUAAAAAGAUCUGUG